ACUUGUUGGAUAUGAUGCUUGUAUCCAUUUAAACAUUGUUCAAUGACAUGGUUUUGAGCUUUUACGGCUUUUGGUGCUAUCCUAACAUCUGAUAUCUCCUUGUGGGAGUGUUUUCACAAGUUGGAAACAUGAACGAGUUAUACCUUUUGUUUUGGAAACAUGAACGAGUUAUACCUUUUGUUCUCACUAGGUGGAGUGACUACUUGAGUAUCAAAUUUCUAUAUCUUUAUCGUACUCCCAGUAUUGUUGUCAAUUUGCUUAAUAGAAAGAACUGUUAAGUCUUGAGCA
rnacentral:lncRNA from 1 species